rnacentral:lncRNA from 1 species
GUCCCUUGGCUUAUAAACAAGAAAAGUCCCUAAAAUCAACGAAAAGUCCCUUGGACUAUAAACAAGAAAAGUCCCGUAAGAUCAACGAAAGUCCCUCAGUCCUUUGGACUAUUAGCAAAAAAAGUCUCCUAAAAUCAACGAAAGUACCUCAGUCCCUUAGACUAUAAACAAGAAAAGUCCCUUAAGAUAAACAAAGUCCCUUAGUCCCUUGAAUUAAAAACAAGAAAAGUCCAAUAAGAUCAACGAAAAGUCCCUUGGACUAUAAAGAAGAAAAGUCCCGUAAGAUUAACGAAAGUCCCUCAGUCCCUUACUAUAAAUAGAAAAGGUCCCAUAAGAUCAACGAAAAUUCCCUUGGACUAUAAACAAGAAAAAUCCCUUUAAUAUCAACCAUAAUUAAAAAUACCGAUAUAUUUCGCGAUAUUUCGGCGGGAUACGCCGAUUUUUGGAGAAUCGACGUUUUAUAAUCCGGGAAUAAUCGAAUAUAUUCCCGAUAUAUUGAGAUGAAUUUUUUGUUUCGAGUGUCGGAAUGUAGGACUAUGCCAUUUUUUUGAAAUUCGAAAUUUCGCCCGGAUUUGGAAUUUUGAACCUUGAUAUCAACUAAAGUCCCUCCGUCCCUUGGACUAUAAACAAGAUUUGAAUGUAGGAAGAGAAAAGUCCAUUGGCUUACAAACAAGUAAAGUCCGCUGAGAUCAACGAAAGUCCCUCAGUCCCUUGGAUUAUAAACAAAAAUGUCACUUAAGAUCNNNNNNNNNNNNNNNNNNNNNNNNNNNNNNNNNNNNNNNNNNNNNNNNNNNNNNNNNNNNNNNNNNNNNNNNNNNNNNNNNNNNNNNNNNNNNNNNNNNNUCAGCGAAAAUUCCCUUGGACUAUUAACAAGAAAAGUCAUUUAAUAUCAUCACAAGUCCCUCCGUCCCUUGGACUAUAAACAAAAUGUGAUGUAGGAAGAGAAACGUCAUUGGACUAUAAACAAGUAAAGUCUGUUGAGAUCAACGAAAGUCAGAAAGUCCCUUAAGACUAUAAACAAGAAAAAUCCCUUAAGAACAACGAAAGUCCCUUAGUCCCUUAAGAGUAUAAACAAAUAAAGUCCCUUAAGAUCAACGGAAGUCCCGCAGACUCUUAAGACUAUAAACAAAUAAAAUCCCUUAAGAUCAGCGAAAGUCCCUCAGUCUCUUGUACUAUAAACAAGAAAAGUCCCUUAAGAUCAACGAAAAGUCCCUUUGACUAUAAACAAGAAUAGUCCCUUCAGAUCAGCGAAAGUCCCUCAGUCCCUCAGUCCCUUGGACUAUAAACAAGUGGAAUAUGGGAAGGGAAAAGUCCAUUGCACUAUAAACAAGUGAAGUCCUUUGAGAUAAAUGAAAGUCCCUCAAUCUCUUGGACUAUAAACAAGAAAAGUUCCUUAAGAUCAAUGAAAAGUCCCUUGGACUAUAAACAAGAAAAGUCCCUUCAGAUCAGCGAAAGUCCCUCAGUCCCUUGGACUAUAAACAAGAUGGAAUGUGGGAAGAGAAAAGUCCAUUGCACUAUAAACAAGUGAAGUUCUUUGAGAUCAAUGAAAGUCCCACAGUCCCUUGGACUAUAAACAAGAAAAGUCCCUUAAGAUCAACGAAAAGUCCCUUGGACUAUAAAGAAGAAAAGUCCCUUCAGAUCAGCGAAAGUCCCUCCAGUCCCUCGGACUAUAAACAAGAUGGAAUGUGGGAAGAGAAAAGUCCUUUGCACUAUAAACAAGUGAAGUCCUUUGCGAUCAACGAAAGUGCCUCAACCCCUUGGCCUAUAAACAAGAAAAGUCCCUUAAGAUCAACGAAAAUUCCCUUGGACUAAAAACAAGAAAAGUCCCUUGGACUAUAAACAAAAAAGUCGCUCCAGAUCAGUGAAAGUCCCCUCAAUUCCUUGGACUAUUCUGAGUUGGAAUGUGGGAAGAGAAAAGUCCAUUGCACUAUAAACAAGUGAAGUCCUUUGAGAUCAACGAAAGUCCCUCAGUCCCUUGGCUUAUAAACAAGAAAAGUCCCUAAAAUCAACGAAAAGUCCCUUGGACUAUAAACAAGAAAAGUCCCGUAAGAUCAACGAAAGUCCCUCAGUCCUUUGGACUAUUAGCAAAAAAAGUCUCCUAAAAUCAACGAAAGUACCUCAGUCCCUUAGACUAUAAACAAGAAAAGUCCCUUAAGAUAAACAAAGUCCCUUAGUCCCUUGAAUUAAAAACAAGAAAAGUCCAAUAAGAUCAACGAAAAGUCCCUUGGACUAUAAAGAAGAAAAGUCCCGUAAGAUUAACGAAAGUCCCUCAGUCCCUUACUAUAAAUAGAAAAAGGUCCCAUAAGAUCAACGAAAAUUCGCCUUGGACUAUAAACAAGAAAAAAUCCCUUUAAUAUCAACCAUAAUUAAAAAUACCGAUAUAUUUCGCGAUAUUUCGGCGGGAUACGCCGAUUUUUGGAGAAUCGACGUUUUAUAAUCCGGGAAUAAUCGAAUAUAUUCCCGAUAUAUUGAGAUGAAUUUUUUGUUUCGAGUGUCGGAAUGUAGGACUAUGCCAUUUUUUUGAAAUUCGAAAUUUCGCCUGGAUUUGGAAUUUUGAACCUUGAUAUCAACUAAAGUCCCUCCGUCCCUUGGACUAUAAACAAGAUUUGAAUGUAGGAAGAGAAAAGUCCAUUGGCUUACAAACAAGUAAAGUCCGCUGAGAUCAACGAAAGUCCCUCAGUCCCUUGGACUAUAAACAAAAAAUGUCACUUAAGAUCAACGGAAGUCCCUCAGUCGCUUGGAUUAUAAACAAGAAAGGUCCCAUAAGAUCAGCGAAAAUUCCCUUGGACUAUAAAUAAGAAAAGUCCCUUAAUAUCAACGAAAGUCCCUCCGUCCCUUGGACUAUAAACGAAAUGUGGAUGUAGGAAGAGAAACGUCCAUUGGACUAUAAACAAGUAAAGUCUGUUGAGAUCAAUGAAAGUCAGAAAGUCCCUUAAGACUAUAAACAAGAAAAAUCCCUUAAGAACAACGAAAGUCCCUCAGUCCCUUAAGAGUAUAAACAAAUAAAGUCCCUUAAGAUCAACGGAAGUCCCGCACACUCUUAAGACUAUCAACAAAUAAAAUCCCUUAAGAUCAACGAAAGUCCCGCAGUCCCUUGGAUUAUAAACAAGAAAAGUUCCUUAAGAUCUACGAAAAGUCCCUUUGACUAUAAACAAGUAAUGUCCGUUGAGAUCAAUGAAAGUCCCUCCGUCCCUUGGACUAUAAACAAAAAAGUCCCUUAAGAUCAGCGAAAGUCCCUUUGACUAUAAACAAGAAAAGUCCCUUCAGAUCAGCGAAAGUCCCUCAGUCCCUUGGACUAUAAACAAGUAGAAUAUGGGAAGAGAAAAGUCCAUUGCACUAUAAACAAGUGAAGUCCUUUGAGAUAAAUUAAAGUCCCUCAAUCUCUUGGACUAUAAACAAGAAAAGUUCCUUGAGAUCAAUGAAAAGUCCUUGGACUAUAAACAAGAAAAGUCCCUUCAGAUCAGCGAAAGUCUCUCAGUCCCUUGGACUAUAAACUAGUGGAAUGUGGGAAGAGAAUAAGUCCAUUGCACUAUAAAUAAGUGAAGUUCUUUGAGAUCAAUGAAAGUCGCACAGUCCCUUGGACUAUAAACAAGAAAAGUCCCUUAAGAUCAACGAAAUGUCCCUUGGAAUAUAAACACGAAAAGCCCCUUGGACUAUAAACAAGUAAGUCCCUUCAGAUCAGUGAAAGUCCCUCAGUCCCUUGGACUAUAAACAAGAAAGUCCCUUCAGAUCAGCGAAAGUCCCUCAGUCCCUUGGACUAUAAACAAGAUGGAAUGUGGGUAGACAAAAGUUUAUUGCACUAUAAACAAGUGAAAAAACCUUUGAGAUCAAAGAAAGUCCCUCAGUCCCUUGGACUAUAAACAAGAAAAGUCCCUUAAGAUCAACGAAAAGUCCCUUGGACUAUAAACAAGAAAAGUCCCUUCAGAUCAGCGAAAGUCCCUCAGUCCCUUGGACUAUAAACAAGAUGGAAUGUGGGAAGAGAAAAGUCCUUUGCACUAUAAACAAGUGAAGUCCUUUGCGAUCAACGAAAGUGCCUCAACCCCUUGGCCUAUAAACAAGAAAAGUCCCUCUAGAUCAACGAAAAGUCCCUUGGACUAAAAACAAGAAAAGUCCCUUGGACUAUAAACAAAAAAGUCGCUCCAGAUCAGUGAAAGUCCCUCAUUUCCUUGGACUAUAAACAAGUUGGAAUGUGGGAAGAGAAAAGUCCAUUGCACUAUAAACAAGUGAAGUCCUUUGAGAUCAACGAAAGUCCCUCAGUCCCUUGGCUUAUAAACAAGAAAAGUCCCUAAAAUCAACGAAAAGUCCCUUGGACUAUAAACAAGAAAAGUUCCGUAAGAUCAACGAAAGUCCCUCAGUCCUUUGGACUAUUAGCAAAAAAAGUCUCCUAAAAUCAACGAAAGUACCUCAGUCCCUUAGACUAUAAACAAGAAAAGUCCCUUAAGAUAAACAAAGUCCCUUAGUCCCUUGAAUUAAAAACAAGAAAAGUCCAAUAAGAUCAACGAAAAGUCCCUUGGACUAUAAAG